UACGAAUGGGGCUAGCGUUGUUCGGAAUCACUGGGCGUAAAGCGCACGUAGGCGGACUUGUAAGUCAGGGGUGAAAUCCCGGGGCUCAACCUCGGAACUGCCUUUGAUACUGCAAGUCUCGAGUUCGGGAGAGGUGAGUGGAAUUCCUAGUGUAGAGGUGAAAUGCGUAGAUAUUAGGAAGAACACCAGUGGCGAAGGCGGCUCACUGGACCGAUACUGACGCUGAGGUGCGAAAGCGUGGGGAGCAAACAGG
rnacentral:rRNA from 1 species